GCGGGCGUAGUUCAAUGGUAGAACAGGGGCUUCCCAAGCCUCCAAUGUGGGUUCGAUUCCCAUCGCCCGCU
rnacentral:tRNA from 1 species